CGCCCAGCAAUGGGAGCGGCGGACGGGUGAGUAACACGUGGGAAUAUGCCUUUCGGUUCGGAACAACUCGGGGAAACUCGUGCUAAUUCCGGAUACGCCCUUACGGGGAAAGAUUUAUCGCCGAAAGAUUAGCCCGCGUCCGAUUAGCUAGUUGGUGAGGUAAUGGCUCACCAAGGCACCGAUCGGUAGCUGGUUUGAGAGAACGACCAGCCACACUGGGACUGAGACACGGCCCAG
rnacentral:rRNA from 1 species